UUAUCAUUGUAUUUUUCAUCUUUGAUCUCCCGCUCUUCCUUCCGGAUCCUCACAGCAUGGUAUCGGGGAACGCUAUCAUCGUACCUAGAGCGUUUAAAGAAUCCGCACUGACGGAGGGGAGAGAGAAGUAGAAACAAACCAGGAUUAAAGUAAAAGCAAGGAGAACUUUUAAUAUGAAGAUGGAAAGACAAGACUGAAUUACCCCCACCUCUUCGGCUUCUGUUUCCAAAGAAAAUGGAUCUUCAGGCCGGGAAGGACAGAUGCACCAAGAUAAAGAUGAAACUGAAACCCAUAAUAUGGGAGAGAAAAAAAAAGGAAAAGCAUCCUGACACUUGAAUUAAGCUCAAAUCUUUAGGCCCAGAAAAAGUGUGCCUUAAAUUGCUAAAGAAAUCUGUAGAUAGGACAUUGGAGCUGUUGUCGCUCAAAAACACAAGUCAGUAGAAGAGGUACCAGACGACUAGAGGUAAGAAAAUGUCCCCGUUUUCAAAAGAAAUGCAUUCUAGACAUAAGCUAGGAAUCCGUUCAUAUAUCUACCAAGUAUCAAACAAGCCAAUAGGAUCACAGCAGAGACUCCAAUUUCCAUUAGCAUACACGAGUUCUCCACACCCUCACAUGAAAUGCCCAAGAGAACUUGACUUGCAUGUGUGACCAGCCACAAGACUGAGUACCAGCGCCCUGGUUUCAUCACCUUCCAGGAAAGAAGAGCACUUGACGAGGGCGUGUGAGCCCAACAUCUGGUCUUCCUCCACAUGCCUGCAGGCCCUGUGACCCUGAGGGAGAGACAACCUCCCUUGGAUUGUUUUCUCAUCUGUAUUUGAGAUCUGGGGACUUGACAGGGAGUACGUAUUACAGAACCAAAAUGAACAGGAGCCCUGAAACCAACCAGUCUUCCAGGUUUCAAUUCAGGACCCCAACUGGCAUCCCCCUGCUGUGCCUGCUUCCUUUUUUAGGAGUACAGUGUCUACCUUGUCCUUCUGAGGUUUACGGGACUGCACACAGAUAAAACGCCUAGUAAACUGUGGACAUUUUAUUAAUGCA